AGAAAGCGGGGGCAACCCUGUGAGUAAAGUGUUGUACGGGUGAGUAACAAGAUGGGUAAUCUACCCUUUAGUGUGGAAUAACCCUGGGAAACCGGAGCUAAUACCGCAUAAUCCCGAGAGGGGAAAGCAGCAAUGCGCUGAAGGAGGAGCCCGCGGCCGAUUAGUUAGUUGGCAGGGUAAGAGCCUACCAAGGCGAAGAUCGGUAGCCGGCCUGAGAGGGCACACGGCCACACUGGCACUGAAACACGGGCCAGACUCCUACGGGAGGCAGCAGUGGG
rnacentral:misc_RNA from 1 species